rnacentral:rRNA from 1 species
ACUCCUACGGGAGGCAGCAGUGGGGAAUCUUAGACAAUGGGGGAAACCCUGAUCUAGCCAUGCCGCGUGAUCGAUGAAGGCCUUAGGGUUGUAAAGAUCUUUCAGUGGGGAAGAUAAUGACGGUACCCACAGAAGAAGCCCCGGCUAACUCCGUGCCAGCAGCCGCGGUAAUACGGAGGGUGCAAGCGU